rnacentral:rRNA from 1 species
ACUCCUACGGGAGGCAGCAGUAAGGAAUAUUGGUCAAUGGACGCAAGUCUGAACCAGCCAUGCCGCGUGGAGGAUGAAGGCCCUCUGGGUUGUAAACUUCUUUUAUCUGGGAAGAAACCGGACCCUUCUAGGGCCGUUGACGGUACCAGAUGAAUAAGCACCGGCUAACUCCGUGCCAGCAGCCGCGGUAAU